rnacentral:rRNA from 1 species
GACAGAGGUGCCGAGCGUUAGGCGGAAUCACUGGGCUUAAAGCGUGUGUAGGCGGACCGUUAAGUACCUUGUGAAAUCCCCCGGCUCAACCGGGGAACGGCUGGGUAUACUGGCGGUCUUGAGCCAUCCAGGGGCAGUCGGAACAGGCGGUGGAGCGGUGAAAUGCGUAGAUAUCGUCUGGAACGCCGAAGGUGAAAACAGACUGCUGGGGAUGCGCUGACGCUGAGACACGAAAGCCAGGGGAGCGAACGGG